ACAUGAAGGAGAGCUUAGGUGCGACGAGAGUCCAUCCCCUCCGCUCCGACCUCCGAUCUAUCGCCGCCCUUGUCCUGCAAGGCUCAGAAAGUAUGAAACCCCCUCCUUACCUCUCUCAUUUACUCAGUCCCCUGAUUUAGGUCAAUAUACUGAUCUUCUCUGUUACGAAUCAUGGGCAUCGGUUUUUCUGAGCGAGGAAACCCCUAGAUCCGAUGCCAAAUCAAGGGUCAAAUCGGAGGAAUCAAGGGCCAAAAUGGAGGAAUUGGGAGGGGAAUCCGACGAGUGGUGGCUCACGGCAUCCGAAGGCCACCGUAGACUACUCGCCACACUGCUUCCUGCCUUGUUUUGGGUGAGAUCUUCCAUGUUUUUGGUGAAUGUGUGCUGAUUUGAAACUGUAAUCUUGUGGCUGUAUGCAAGAGACCUAGGGUUUAAUGGGUGAUUUCAUUGCUGAAAUGAUAAGAACAUGCUCAUAUUAAAAAAAAAAUGCAUCUAUGAUUUAUUUGAGAUGUAAGAGUACGAAUUGUGUGCUAUUGGUUUAGUUGUUAUCUUGAGCAUGUAAUGUGUGUUGUUACUGAUUUGGUGGUGAUGCUUGGAGUGUGGGUGGUGCUGUUGGUGUAGUAUGAAUCUGGUGAUGUUUGGAGUGUGAGUGGUGUUGAUGGUGUAGUAUAAAUCUGUAUUUUGCUGCUUCAAUUUGUUCAUGGGGCUGAUGCCCACUACUCUACAAGGUAGAGUAGUGUUGGUGGCUACCAAAGAACUAAUUUCAUUCACACUCAAACUGCAUUACAAGUUUUCAAUUUACAAAAACGAAUUGAAGCACAAUAACUUCUUGCCUUUCAACUAUGCAUAUAUGCAUUUACAAAAAAUAAAAAACCACUACAUAUGCACUAUUCAAGCAACAAAAACGAAUUGAAGCACAAUAACUUCUUGCCUUUCAACUAUGCAUAUAGGCAUUUACAAAAAAUAAAAAUCCACUGCAUAUGCACUAUUCAAGCAACAUUAAGGCAUUGAAUUGUUGUUCAAUGCCUUCAACUGUUGUUUGAUGAAUGCUUAAACGAUGCUCGAGGUCUUUAAGGCCUUCCACUUCCCCUUUCUCCCGUAGAUAGGCUAUGGUCUCUUUGACCAGGUCUAUUGGAACUUCCAAACAUUGAGGAAGAAGCUGUUGUCUUAACAGUGCCUCCUUCUUCAUAUGUGGAAGUUUGUAGCAGUUCUGCCCCUUAACCUUCAUGAUCUCUAUCAUGCAACCCUACAAACUUAGGAAAACCUUAUUCAAUGUCAUUGGUGCAAGUUCAUUAAAGGAAGAAACCACUACAUUUACUAGGCUAUCCACAUCAAAGCAAACACUCUCUGUUUGCAGGCUUUGAAUAGCCCUAAACCAUCCAAGGUCAUUUAUAUUAUUGUCAGGGGAGUUUGGAGGCUGAUGUAUGAUGUUGAUGUCAAAACCAUCUGCUGUUGCACAGUCUCUAAACUCUAUGUCCUCAUUCUUGAUAUGUGGCCUAGCAUUAUCUUGUUGAAUAAAGAUAGUCUUGCUUGCAAAUGAAGGCCACUUAGCUUUAAUGGCUGGAACAAGCUAUUUUAAUUUGGAGUACACAUUAAAUAUUCUGUUUCUGUGCAAGUAUCUAAAAUGCAGAAUUCAUACAUUAAAUAUUCUCUACGCAGUUCAUCAUAAAUGCAGAACUCGUGCAUAUUGCUAUUCUGUUACAUUCAUCAUAAAUGCAGAAUUCAUACACUAAGGGUUUUGUUCCAGCCAUACCUGCUUGAUGAAACACUCUUUCAUUACUUGUUUUGUUCUGCCGCCUUUUUUUUAGUUCUGUUUAGCCGCCCAUUUUUCAUUUCAGUUUUUAUCAUUUCAGUUUAAUAGGCCUUUCAGUGUGAAUUUCAGUUUUUCAUGUUUAUUUUAUUGUUUACAUCACUUUAUUAAGGAAGUGGGUUAAGGAUUAAAAGAAUAGAAAGAAAUAGCUUAAUCUUGUGGUCCCUACAACUUUUACAACUACUUUAACUCUCAUAAAUACCCGUGCCGAAAAGUUUUGAGCCAUGAAUAAUGGGACAGAGGGAGUAAUAAAAUAUGAGACAAGAAGUAACUUUUUCUGAGGAUAUAUUUGUCCAAAAAGUAGGAGAGCGAAAUACAGAAGUGAUAAUUAUGUGUGAAAUAUUUGUUAUGUAUUGAUUUUUCAUUUUAAGAAGAGACCUAUUGAAAUGAGAUAUGUCCAAAUAAGAAAUUUUUUUGGGCAUUUCAUUUUCUCUCUAAUGUUAUCUUUGGAUAGUUAUGUGAAAAUAUUUUACAAUAUUUCUUUAUCUUUUCAUCUUUAAUAAAAAUAAAAAUAAAAAUAUUUUUUUAUAUCUUUUGAUUUUUUUUUCAAUAAAAUUUAUAAUCAAAAUAAACGCAACCUAAAUAAUUAUUUGUUGUAUUUGACAAUGAGUUGAGCGAGGACAAGAUGAGGUGGAUUCCACAUACCAGUCAUGUUCGUCGAUCUAUGCUUUCAAUCCAAAAUGUGACCCCCACACCAUCCCUUUUUAAUUUGAAUUAGCUGCAUUAAAAUUAAAAUUACAUAAAUUUGGGGUGAUUUCUAUUUAUGCAUAUAAAUUUUUCAUUUUUUUUUGUAAAAUACAUGAAUAUUACGACUUCUUCAUUUUUCCACGAUUUACAAAUUCCUAUCAAAUUUGAAUUGAUGCGGGCCAUGUGGCAUCGACAUGACAACUAUUUUCCACGUCUGCAUCUACUAUAUAAAGUGGGACAAUUUUACUUUAAUUGAAAUUUUUAUAUCUUUAAUUUUAAUUAAAUCUUAAAAUUAACUUUUAUCCUUAAUAUUAAAAUCACUCAAGCUUUAGAUAAAAUGAUUUUUUAUCACAAAAACUUCAAAAUCUCAUUGAAUAGUAAAGUAUUUGAAUCAUCGGACAACAAACCAUCUUUGUGUUUGGAGAAAAUUCAAAAUCGUGAUAAAUUGGGGAACUUGUAAAUUCAUAGUAUUUUCUAAGAAAAUUGAAAGUUUACAUGCAAGAUGAAAGUCACCCCAAAUUUAUGUAUUUUAACGCAUUUAAACCUUUUAUUUUUUGUUUCAAUUUUAUAAAUUUAAGUCCAUUUUCAAUCGACACUUGCAAUGGCUGGGGGAAAAGAAACCUUGAUUAAAUCGGUAAUUCAAUCCAUCCCUACAUUUGCAAUGGCUUGCUUCCGUCUCCCGGUUGGUAUUUGUGCGGAUAUUGAAAAAAUAUGUGCUAAUUUUUGGUGGGGCGACAAUGUUGAAGGGAAGAAGCUGCAUUGGGCAAGAUGGGACAAACUUUGUGUGGCGAAAUCUGCCGGAGGCCUUGGCUUUCGACGUCUUGUGCAAUUUAAUCAAGCCCUUCUCGCUAAACAGGNUUAGGGAACUAUUAACAACUUAAUUAAGUUCACUAUAUAAAGAUAAUUAGAAACCCUAAAUCUACCCAACCCCUCCUUAAUUCACUCUGCCGCUCUAUGCUCUCUUUCUCUUUCUCUUUCAUAUGCGCAACCCUCUUGUGGCUGAAACCCCAAAAUUGCGUCGCCCUCUACCGCCUCUAUUGCCGCCCUUAAUCGCAGUGAUGAAGCGUUCCUUCCCUUGGAAAGAGUAUCUGAGCGACGAGUUCAUCCCCGAUACCGAAGAUUCGCUCGGCUUCAUCGACGAUCCGCCGCCUGUGUACUUCCCGUUCUCCAUGUCAGAGGCGUUGACGGCGGCCUCCCAGGAGUCGUGGUUCGGUGCAUCUGAGGUUGAACAUGAAGGAGAGCUUAGGUGCGACGAGAGUCCAUCCCCUACGCUCCGACCUCUGAUCUAUCGCCGCCCUUGUCCCGCAAGGCUCAGAAAGUAUGAAACCCCCUCCUUACCUCUCUCAUUUACUCAGUCCCCUGAUUUAGGUCAAUAUAUUGAUCUUCUCUGUUACGAAUCAUGGGCAUCGGUUUUUCUAAGCGAGGAAACCCCUAGAUCCGAUGCCAAAUCGAAAGAUUUGGCAGCGAAAUCAGGGGUCAAAUCGGAGGAAUCAGGGGCCAAAAUGGAGGAAUUGGGAAGGGAAUCCGACGAAUGGUGGCUCACAGCAUCCGAAGGUCACCGUAGACUACUCGCCACACUGCUUCCUGCUUUGUUUUGGGUGAGAUCUUCCAUAUUUUUGGUGAAUGUGUGCUGAUUUGAAACUGUAAUCUUGUGGCUGUAUGCAAGAGACCUAGGG
rnacentral:lncRNA from 1 species